UGAUCCUGGCUCAGAUUGAACGCUGGCGGCAGGCCUAACACAUGCAAGUCGAACGGUAACAUUUAUAGCUUGCUAUAAGAUGACGAGUGGCGGACGGGUGAGUAAUGCUUAGGAACUUGCCUUUUGGUGGGGGAUAACAGUUGGAAACGACUGCUAAUACCGCAUGAUAGCUACGGCUCAAAGGGGGCUUCGGCUCCCGCCUUUAGAGAAGCCCAAGUGGGAUUAGGUAGUUGGUGAGGUAAAGGCUCACCAAGCCCACGAUCCCUAGCUGGUCUGAGAGGAUGAUCAGCCACACUGGAACUGAGACACGGUCCAGACUCCUACGGGAGGCAGCAGUGGGGAAUAUUGCACAAUGGGCGAAAGCCUGAUGCAGCCAUGCCGCGUGUGUGAAGAAGGCCUUCGGGUUGUAAAGCACUUUCAGCGAGGAGGAAAGCUUAGUCGUUAAUACCGGCUAGGUGUGACGUUACUCGCAGAAGAAGCACCGGCUAACUCCGUGCCAGCAGCCGCGGUAAUACGGAGGGUGCGAGCGUUAAUCGGAAUUACUGGGCGUAAAGCGUACGCAGGCGGCCAUUUAAGUCAGAUGUGAAAGCCCCGGGCUCAACCUGGGAACUGCAUUUGAAACUGGAUGGCUAGAGUGCGACAGAGGGUGGUAGAAUUUCAGGUGUAGCGGUGAAAUGCGUAGAGAUCUGAAGGAAUACCAAUGGCGAAGGCAGCCACCUGGGUCGACACUGACGCUCAUGUACGAAAGCGUGGGUAGCAAACAGGAUUAGAUACCCUGGUAGU
rnacentral:rRNA from 1 species